rnacentral:rRNA from 3 species
GGACUACCCGGGUAUCUAAUCCCGUUUGCUCCCCUAGCUUUCGCGCCUCAGCGUCAGAAGAGGUCCAGCACGUCGCUUUCGCCACCGGCGUUCCUUCCGAUAUCUACGCAUUUCACCGCUCCACCGGAAGUUCCACAUGCCCCUACCUCCCUCAAGACCACCAGUAUCAAAGGCAGUUUUCCGGUUAAGCCGAAAGAUUUCACCCCUGACUUGGUGAUCCGCCUACGCGCCCUUUAAGCCCAGUGAAUCCGAACAACGUUCGCACGGUUCGUCUUACCGCGGCUGCUGGCAC